AUUGAACGCUGGCGGCAUGCCUUACACAUGCAAGUCGAACGGUAACAGGUCUUCGGAUGCUGACGAGUGGCGAACGGGUGAGUAAUACAUCGGAACGUGCCUAGUAGUGGGGGAUAACUACUCGAAAGAGUGGCUAAUACCGCAUGAGAUCUACGGAUGAAAGCAGGGGAUCGCAAGACCUUGUGCUACUAGAGCGGCCGAUGGCAGAUUAGGCAGUUGGUGGGAUAAAUGCUUACCAAGCCGACGAUCUGUAGCUGGUCUGAGAGGACGAUCAGCCACACUGGGACUGAGACACGGCCCAGACUCCUACGGGAGGCAGCAGUGGGGAAUUUUGGACAAUGGGCGCAAGCCUGAUCCAGCAAUGCCGCGUGCAGGAUGAAGGCCUUCGGGUUGUAAACUGCUUUUGUACGGAACGAAAAGCCCUGGGUUAAUACCCUGGGGUCAUGACGGUACCGUAAGAAUAAGCACCGGCUAACUACGUGCCAGCAGCCGCCGUAACAC
rnacentral:rRNA from 1 species